rnacentral:rRNA from 1 species
GACCCGCGUCUGAUUAGCUAGUUGGUAAGGUAACGGCUUACCAAGGCGACGAUCAGUAGCCGACCUGAGAGGGUGAUCGGCCACAUUGGAACUGAGACACGGUCCAAACUCCUACGGGAGGCAGCAGCGGGGAAUAUUGCACAAUGGGCGAAAGCCUGAUGCAGCAACGCCGCGUGAGUGAUGAAGGCCUUCGGGUCGUAAUACUCUGUCCUCAAGGAAGAUAAUGACGGUACUUGAGGAGGAAGCCCCGGCUAACUACGUGCCAGCAGCCGCGGUAAUACGUAGGGGGCUAGCGUUAUCCGGAUUUACUGGGCGUAAAGGGUGCGUAGGCGGUCUUUCAAGUCAGGAGUGAAAGGCUACGGCUCAACCGUAGUAAGCUCUUGAAACUGGGAGACUUGAGUGCAGGAGAGGAGAGUGGAAUUCCUAGUGUAGCGGUGAAAUGCGUAGAUAUUAGGAGGAACACCAGUUGCGAAGGCGGCUCUCUGGACUGUAACUGACGCUGAGGCACGAAAGCGUGGGGAGCAAACAGGAUUAGAUACCCUGGUAGUCCACGCUGUAAACGAUGAGUACUAGGUGUCGGGGGUUACCCCC